rnacentral:tRNA from 1 species
GGGCUCGUAGCUCAGUGGCUAGAGCGCUUUCCUGAUAAGAAAGAGGUCGGUGGUUCGAUCCCACCCGAGCCCACCA